AUUGAACGCUGGCGGCAGGCCUCAUACAUGCAAGUCGAACGAGAAAGUAUCUUCGGAUACGAGUACAGUGGCGGACGGGUGAGUAAUACAUAGGAAUCUACCCAAUGGAGGGGGAUAGCUCGAGGAAACUCGAAUUAAUACCGCAUAAUCUCCACGGAGUAAAGAGGGCUUCGGCUCUCGCCAUCGGAUGAGCCUAUGCAGGAUUAGCUUGUUGGUGAGGUAAAGGCUUACCAAGGCGACGAUCCUUAGCUGGUUUGAGAGGAUGACCAGCCACAUCGGGACUGAGACACGGCCCGGACUUCUACGGAAGGCAGCAGUAGGGAAUAUUGGACAAUGAGCGAAAGCUUGAUCCAGCCAUGCCGCGUGUGCGAUGACGGCCCUCGGGUUGUAAAGCACUUUAGGUAACGAGGAAAAGUUAGGUGUUAAUACCAUCUAACCUUGACGUUAAUUACAGAAUAAGCACCGGCUAAAUCCGUGCCAGCCGCCGCCGUAACAC
rnacentral:rRNA from 1 species